rnacentral:rRNA from 1 species
UACGUAGGGUGCGAGCGUUGUCCGGAAUUAUUGGGCGUAAAGGGCUCGUAGGCGGUUUGUCGCGUCGGGAGUGAAAACCUUGGGCUUAACUCAGGGCUUGCUUUCGAUACGGGCAGACUAGAGGUAUGCAGGGGAGAACGGAAUUCCUGGUGUAGCGGUGAAAUGCGCAGAUAUCAGGAGGAACACCAGUGGCGAAGGCGGUCCUCUGGGCAUGAUCUGACGCUGAGGAGCGAAAGUGUGGGGAGCGAACAGG